rnacentral:piRNA from 1 species
GGAAAGAGUCUGGUGCAGGUGUAG